AGUGGCGGACUGGUGAGUAACACAUGGGUAACCUACCCCGAAGUGAGGAAUACCGGCGAGAAGUCGCCAACAAUACCGCAUAUGCCGCGAGCAAAGUCGCGCUUGGGGAUGGGCCUGUGGCCGAUUAGCUGGUUGGUGGGGUAAUGGCCUACCAAGGCGACGAUCGGUAGCUGGACUGAGAGGAUGAUCAGCCACAUUGGGAUUGAGAACGGCCCAGACUCCUACGGGAGGCAGCAGUGAGGAAUUUUCCGCAAUGGACGCAAGUCUGACGGAGCAACGCCGCGUGCAGGACGAAGGUCUUCGGAUCGUAAACUGCUUUUCUCGGGGAUGAAUGACGGUACCCGAGGAAUCAGCCUCGGCUAACUACGCGCCAGCAGCCGCGGUAAUACGUAGGAGGCGAGUGUUGUCCGGAGUUACUGGGCGUAAAGCGCACGCAGGCGGUCUGUUAGGUUCACGGUGACAGUCAUCAGCUUAACUGGUGAAGUGUCGUGAAAAC
rnacentral:rRNA from 1 species